rnacentral:piRNA from 1 species
UGAGCUAGAACUGCACCCACUCC